CCCCUUUCAAGGUCGCAUCUGGAGAGUUUCCAGUCCUCUACCAGUCUCGACUACAGGAGGGAGAAUCAAGCAGGGGCAUACCCAUUCCAUUCCUAGCUUGGCCAGUGGCUAGUUGUGGAAGACAAUCCGCUACAAGU